rnacentral:rRNA from 1 species
UACGUAGGGUGCAAGCGUUGUCCGGAAUUAUUGGGCGUAAAGGGCUCGUAGGCGGUCCGUCACGUCGGGAGUGAAAUCCUGGGGCUUAACCCCAGAACUGCUUCCGAUACGGGCAGACUAGAGGUAGGUAGGGGAGAAUGGAAUUUCUGGUGUAGCGGUGGAAUGCGCAGAUAUCAGGAGGAACACCAGUGGCGAAGGCGGUUCUCUGGGCCUUACCUGACGCUGAGGAGCGAAAGCGUGGGGAGCAAACAGG